GACAGAGGUGCCGAGCGUUAGGCGGAAUCACUGGGCUUAAAGCGUGUGUAGGCGGAUCGUUAAGUACCUUGUGAAAUCCCAUGGCUCAACCAUGGAACUGCUUGGUAUACUGGCGGUCUUGAGCCAGCUAGGGGCUACCGGAACAAAUGGUGGAGCGGUGAAAUGCGUAGAUAUCAUUUGGAACGCCAAUGGUGAAAACAGGUAGCUGGGGCUGUGCUGACGCUGAGACACGAAAGCCAGGGGAGCGAGCGGG
rnacentral:rRNA from 1 species